UGCAAAUAAGUUUUAAAAGCAUAAAGUUUGAAGGCAAUACAGUCUGUCAGAGAUAGAUAGUUGCUAUGCGGUUGCUAGGGUUUCUGGGGGGUUGCUAAGGCAUUACUAUCCAGUUGCUAUUUACUUGGGGUGGUUGUUAGGGUGUUGCUAUGUUUUGAAUACAAAAUAGACUGAAUUUAACAGAUAACAUUUAUGUCAGUUUAAUUGUUUUUAUAACAACAUACACAAAUCAUAACUUGAUUUUUGCAAGAAUUGUAAACCAAUGCUCUACGGUUAACAGUGAUUUUUGAUGUUUCCUCCUGCUCAUGUUUUAUGAACCCGUUCUGCAUGAUGUCAUGAAAGUCUUUCAGCAUAAUGUAUAUUACAAAGGCAGAGAGGAAACAAUUAUUUGUAUUAUUAUAUUAAAGUUCCUAAACAUUUUUAUAUUUUUCUUUACCACAGAAGCUCUGUCAGUUACGUUGAGACUGAUGAAUCCCCAAUCUUCCACAAUCGACUUCACAUAGGAUGAACUGUUUCCAGUUUCAGCAAAGCAGCAAGGAUGACUACACCUUAGAACUCUUCACUAACACUGCCUGCCUCACCUGGGCCACAGAGAAAACAAUGUUACUGCCUGUAAAUGGCACAAUUAACCUUUAACCUUACAGAUGAAUCAAUGCAGUAACACUGUUAUAUACCAUUGACAUUGUACCAAAUAUUCAGACUGAAUAUACAGAGGAGAACUGGUCCCCAGUGUUUUUGGUGAGCCUAGUUUCUCCAAAGGUUUUGUUUUUACUCCAGUAUCAGCAUUUUAAAGAUUUUUCUUUCUUUUUUUUAGCACUGUUGCCUUUGGCUUGCUUGCUGUAUGUAUGAAGACUAAAGCAUUUAUCACCAACUAUUAAAACCAUAGGCCAUGUAGCAACUCCGGCUAGUGGAUUAGCACGCACGCGACCAAACACACAGACGGAUGAGAGAGAGGCUGGAGAGAUACAGGGAUACAGAUGAUGCUGAGAUCAUUGCACUUUCUGCUGCGAUUGUUGACCUAUUCCACUGCCUCCUCCUCCCCACUGCCAAGUGUGGCCAUCAGCACCUUCAUUUGAGGUGCCAUUGAUGCUUUGGCUCUCUAUUCAGGUCAUUGCAUCCUGUGAUAUUGUUGUAGUCUUGCACUGUCUCCUUGCCAAGUGUUGCCAUCAGCACCAUUUAAAGGAGAUAUUGAUACUUUGGCUCUCUAUAUGCAAAUUCAGAUCUGCUUCUAACCCUUACGCAACUACGCCUAGCUUGCUUAGCAUCUUUGAAAAAAAAGGCCAGAACCCU